AGUUAGAGCUACCGGCUGCAUUGGUAUAAUCUCUGGAACCUGGUCGACCUGAACCCGCUGCUCUGGAGUACCAGCGACGGGAGUCUGUGCUCCUCCCCAGGCCUGAGAUGUGGCAGGACCAAGUGGAAUCAAACCAGCCUGAGCUAAAGUGCUGAACAUGCUUAGAAACUGGGCUAGAGUCUCCUAGAGAGCUGGUGCAGAAACACGUACCUCAGGUGUCUGCCCUCCAGUUGGAGCUACUAGGGGCUCCUCUGUAGCAGCUCGUGCGGGUGCCCUGGCUGCACCACGUGGACGUCCUCGGCCUCUACCCCGGUCUCGGUCCCGGUCC
rnacentral:lncRNA from 1 species